UUGGUUAAUUCGAAGCAACGCGAAGAACCUUACCUAGACUUGACAUCUCCUGAAUUACCCGUAACGUAGGGGAAGCUCUUCGGAGCAGGAAGACAGGUGGUGCAUGGUUGUCGUCAGCUCGUGUCGUGAGAUGUUGGGUUAAGUCCCGCAACGAGCGCAACCCUUAUCGUUAGUUGCUACCAUUAAGUUGAGCACUCUAGCGAGACUGCCCGGGUUAACCGGGAGGAAGGUGGGGAUGACGUCAAACCAUCAUGCCCCUUAUGUCUAGGGCUACACACGUGCUACAAUGGUGAGGACAAAGAGACGCAAGACCGCGAGGUGGAGCAAAUCUCACAAACCUCAUCCCAGUUCGGAUUGCAGGCUGAAACUCGCCUGCAUGAAGCCGGAGUUGCUAGUAAUCGCGAAUCAGCAUGUCGCGGUGAAUACGUUCCCGGGCCUU
rnacentral:rRNA from 1 species